rnacentral:rRNA from 1 species
CGCCUGUUUAACAAAAACAUGGCUCCUUGUGUUUUAGGCGGAUAAGGAGUCGGACCUGCCCGGUGACUACGGGUUAAACGGCCGCGGUACACUGACCGUGCAAAGGUAGCACAAUCACUUGCCUCUUAAUUGGAGGCUGGUAUGAAUGGUUUGACGAGGGCUGAGCUGUCUCUUUUGGAAUAUUUAAAAAUUAACUUCUAGGUGAAAAGGCCUAGAUUGAGCUGAGGGACGAGAAGACCCUGUUGAGCUUUAGUGUUGAAUAAAGGUUUAUAUUUCCUAGUUGAAUUUAGAGGUUUAAGUUUAUUCUUACAUCUUUAGUUGGGGUGACUGGGGAACAAAAGUAGCUUCUCUACUUAUUACUGGGUUUGGCUUGCUAGCUAAUGAUCCGGCAUUGCUGAUUAUUGGAAAAAGUUACCACAGGGAUAACAGCGUAAUCUUUUUGGAGAGUUCAUAUUGAAAAAAGGGUUUGCGACCUCGAUGUUGGAUUAAGGUGUCCUAAGGGUGUAGCAGCUCUUGUUGGUUGGUCUGUUCGACCAUUAAAUCCUUACAUGAUCUGAGUUCAGACCGG